rnacentral:rRNA from 1 species
AUGGGGGGUGCCUAUACAUGCAAGUCGAACGAGUUCUGAUUAUUGAAAGGUGCUUGCAUCUUGAUUUAAUUUUGAACGAGUGGCGGACGGGUGAGUAACACGUGGGUAACCUGCCCUUAAGUGGGGGAUAACAUUUGGAAACAGAUGCUAAUACCGCAUAAAUCCAAGAACCGCAUGGUUCUUGGCUGAAAGAUGGCGUAAGCUAUCGCUUUUGGAUGGACCCGCGGCGUAUUAGCUAGUUGGUGAGGUAACGGCUCACCAAGGCAAUGAUACGUAGCCGAACUGAGAGGUUGAUCGGCCACAUUGGGACUGAGACACGGCCCAAACUCCUACGGGAGGCAGCAGUAGGGAAUCUUCCACAAUGGACGCAAGUCUGAUGGAGCAACGCCGCGUGAGUGAAGAAGGCUUUCGGGUCGUAAAACUCUGUUGUUGGAGAAGAAUGGUCGGCAGAGUAACUGUUGUCGGCGUGACGGUAUCCAACCAGAAAGCCACGGCUAACUACGUGCCAGCAGCCGCGGUAAUACGUAGGUGGCAAGCGUUAUCCGGAUUUAUUGGGCGUAAAGCGAGCGCAGGCGGUUUUUUAAGUCUGAUGUGAAAGCCCUCGGCUUAACCGAGGAAGUGCAUCGGAAACUGGGAAACUUGAGUGCAGAAGAGGACAGUGGAACUCCAUGUGUAGCGGUGAAAUGCGUAGAUAUAUGGAAGAACACCAGUGGCGAAGGCGGCUGUCUGGUCUGUAACUGACGCUGAGGCUCGAAAGCAUGGGUAGCGAACAGGAUUAGAUACCCUGGUAGUCCAUGCCGUAAACGAUGAAUGCUAGGUGUUGGAGGGUUUCCGCCCUUCAGUGCCGCAGCUAACGCAUUAAGCAUUCCGCCUGGGGAGUACGACCGCAAGGUUGAAACUCAAAGGAAUUGACGGGGGCCCGCACAAGCGGUGGAGCAUGUGGUUUAAUUCGAAGCAACGCGAAGAACCUUACCAGGUCUUGACAUCUUUUGAUCACCUGAGAGAUCAGGUUUCCCCUUCGGGGGCAAAAUGACAGGUGGUGCAUGGUUGUCGUCAGCUCGUGUCGUGAGAUGUUGGGUUAAGUCCCGCAACGAGCGCAACCCUUAUGACUAGUUGCCAGCAUUUAGUUGGGCACUCUAGUAAGACUGCCGGUGACAAACCGGAGGAAGGUGGGGAUGACGUCAAAUCAUCAUGCCCCUUAUGACCUGGGCUACACACGUGCUACAAUGGAUGGUACAACGAGUUGCGAGACCGCGAGGUCAAGCUAAUCUCUUAAAGCCAUUCUCAGUUCGGACUGUAGGCUGCAACUCGCCUACACGAAGUCGGAAUCGCUAGUAAUCGCGGAUCAGCACGCCGCGGUGAAUACGUUCCCGGGCCUUGUACACACCGCCCGUCACACCAUGAGAGUUUGUAACACCCGAAGCCGGUGGCGUAACCCUUUAGGGAGCGAGCCGUCUAAAGGGGACAAAAUGG